UAAACAUUGACAGUUAAUUACACCCACUGUCCGCCUGGGGACUACGAGCGCCAGCUUAAAACCCAAAGGACUUGGCGGUGCUUUAGACCCACCUAGAGGAGCCUGUUCUAGAACCGAUAAUCCCCGUUGAACCUCACCCUUCCUUGUCAUUUCCGCCUAUAUACCACCGUCGUCAGCUUACCCUGUGAAGGCCCAAUAGUAAGCGCAAUCGGCAAUGCCCAAAACGUCAGGUCGAGGUGUAGCGAAUGGAAGGGGAAGAAAUGGGCUACAUUUACUAACACAGUAAAUACGGAUGAUUACCCUGCAACGAGUAUCUGAAGGAGGAUUUAGCAGUAAGCAAAAAACAGAGUGUUUUGCUGAAAUUGGC
rnacentral:rRNA from 1 species